AACCGCGCUUUUCUGAAGAGGAUGUGAGCAGGGCCACAGGAAUUCAGGAAGCAGCAAACUUGAGCUUCGUGUGGACUACAGCCAGAAACUUGAAUAUUCUAUCCUUGGCUUCAUUUUUAUACCAGCAGCUUUUGUUCAACUACAGUGAGAUAAGUUAUAGGCAGUCAAGAUCAUGGACUUCCCAUGGCUGAUGUCCUGGUUGGAGAGACUUUGGUCUUGGGUUGCGCCGUUUUUAGGACGACAACCUCAAGUAGCGGUGACUGAUAGUACCGGUGUUGUUACCACCAGAGAACUAAAGGGUAAACAAUCAAAAGGCCUCAAAAUGACGAUCGAAACAGUGAGUGAUCCAGAUAAUCGUGCAGGGAAGGAUGUUGGACAGGCUUCCCAAGCAACUUACAGUGCAACAGGGGGCGGCGUCAUAUGUGCUGACAAAAUAGCUAUCGACACUAUUGACGGCGAUAUCGAUCUGUCAAUAUCUGUGAAAAAAUCAAACUAGGUGCAGAACAUUUUGCCAAGGAUCACUCCUUUAUCCUGUGAAUGCUUAAAAACAACGCUAAAGCCAAAAAAAACUGUUAUUAACCUGAAUGAUGUGAUUGGAUUUAUUUGGAUCUCUUUAAGCUCAUUGGCUAAUCUUCCAACAGUCCACAUUAAAAACAUUUAAACAUACAAUCCAUAGAUAAUUUGCACACAAUUGAAUUGUCGCUGCACACAUUAUCAUAUACACACACACACACACACACACACACAUAUAACCUACACUGGCACAUAGUACAAUAGUGUAAUGAAAACUACAUAUUUCAGUCGACAAUCGAUUGCAAUCAAAAGCGAUGUGAAAUAUUUUUUAAAGGUCAAGAAUCCUACUCUGAUGUUCUGAAGACUUAUCUACGGCUCAAACAAAUGACCAGAAAAGGAUACUAAGCAGGAGUGAUACGAAUUUAUUCUGUCUGUGCAUUAUUUGGUUCAUGCCAGUUUUUAUAGUCAAAAUAGAAACAUUUUUAAAAUCUUAUUCCUGUUUUUUUAGAAUAGAUCACACCCAAUAAUGUUAAAAGUAACAUUUGGAAAUAAUGUUCUCUUAUGAAAUUAAAUCUUUGCAAUUAUGGAAAAAUAAAAAUCCCAUUUUCAUUACAGA